GCCCAAUCAUCCAUAAUCAAAAAAGCAUUUACAUUUUCAAGCUUUCUCUUAAAUAUAUACAGCUGUGAUUAUCAUACUCAAGAUUCUGAGUUUCUGAGUAGAAACCCUCACCUAACAUGACAAUCAUAAGGAACAAUUACACGAUCUGGAACAAUGAGAGGCAAUUUAUCGAUGUACAUAAAAAGCCUCUUGCAAUUCUCUCUUGAAAUUAAGGAUAAAUCAACAGUAU
rnacentral:misc_RNA from 1 species